rnacentral:rRNA from 1 species
UACGAAGGGGGCUAGCGUUGUUCGGAUUUACUGGGCGUAAAGCGCGUGUAGGCGGGUCGUUAAGUUGGGGGUGAAAGCCCGAGGCUCAACCUCGGAACUGCCUUCAAAACUGGCGACCUGGAGCAAAGUAGAGGCGAGCGGAAUUCCGAGUGUAGAGGUGAAAUUCGUAGAUAUUCGGAGAAACACCAGAAGCGAAGGCGGCCAACUGGCCCGAUACUGACGCUGAGGCGCGAAAGCGUGGGGAGCAAACAGG